ensembl:snoRNA
AUCCUUCGAUUUCAUGAGUGUGAUGAUUGGGUGUUCAUGCCGUAUGCAUGAGUUGUGCCUCCCUCAAACCUUGUUAUAACCUUAAACAUUACCCUUCUGAUG